AAAAUUUUACUUUUACACUUUGUUGGAUACCACUUUUCAACUUUACCAUCAGUCUAAGGACAUUUUCAGAAAUACACACUUUCAUUAAUGAGCAAAAGACAAGAACACCCUUACCUUAUCUUCUUCUCCACUAUUGGUUUCUCUCCCUGUCCUCGAGUCACCGUCAUCUCUCUCUCACCGUCGUCUCUCUCUCUCACCGUCAAUUUCCGGCGCCUCUCUCACCGCCUAGUUCUGGUGUCUCUCUCACCGUCGAUCUCUCUCUCACCGUCGAUCUCUCUCUCACCGUCGACUUCCGGUGACGAAAUCGAUUCAAAAUCUCCAAGAUGUCAACUCAUAUACGUGAUUCACAACUUAUGUCUCUAAUUUCUGUAUUUUUGUUUGAUUCGAUUUUGUGCUUUCUCUUAUCGAAAAAUCAAACAAGGUUCUCUUAGAUAUCUCAUUUAAAGAGGUCGAUCUAAGAGAAACAGAUUUGAUAGUGAAACGUUGAGAGUGAAAACAUUGAGUAUUUGAAAACUUAAAUCUGGUUUUGAAAUCAUAUUAAGAUUGAUCUGAAUGGUUCCGGCUAAGAAAAGAGAUUUUCCGAUAGUAAAAACUGCAUAUUAAGGAAGAGAUAAUUUCCGAUAGUAAAAACUGAAUAUUAAGGAAUUAUAACCCCUUAUAAAUCUGGGUUUCAUGAGAUUGUUGAUAAAUACAACUCAAUGAUUUAUAAGGAAUUAUAACCCUUUAUAAAUCUGGGUUUCUACCAGGAAACCUCUUCUGCAGAUCUGUUAUGUCUACAUAGGGACUCAACAAGGGCUUCGACAAUUACUGAAGUGUUGGAGGUGGAGAAGAAAAAUAAUGUGAGUUUUUACUAAAGUUUAUAAAUAUAUUUGUACUGUAUUGUUUAGAAAGAGGUUUAUAAACAUACUCCUUGAAAAAGGGUUACAAGCAGACGCCUUGGUAAAAAAUGUGAAGCGUUUAGACAUUUUAGAAUAUUUUUCAUUUUGUACUUUUUCUGUAACACGUUGCUUGCAUCAUUCACACACUAGCCCUUAACAUUCACAUUAGAUUAUUGAGAAUGGUUGCUCUGUUUCUUCUUGGCUUGUGUUUUGUGUGUUAACUCGCAUGUUUCACUUGUCUUAACACCUUGCUUAUGUCAUGCCCUCAUUAGCUCCUGCCAUUUACAUGAGAUUACUAAGUUAACUAUAUUGUUUCAUAAUGGUUUAUAAAUAAGAGAUUUACAGAGACUUAUAAAACGUUGUUUUAUCUUUGUUACAGGGUGUGGUUACUACAGUGUUUGGAUUCUCUGAGGAAUUCAAACAUUUGGUGAACCCAACACAUCCUCAUGAUAAGGACUUUGAAAGUGUUAUACAACUAGUUCAACAAGGAUACAAUGUGUAGAAAAUCGAUUGGGAACAAGGAUUUGUGGAUGUUUUCUUACAACAGAAGACAUUGGUCGACAAAGCAGGACAGAAGACAAAGAUGUACAGCAAAACCUCUAAGGAGCAAACACAAUAUCAAGAAGAACAACAAGUGGAAGCUGAUGCUGAAUUCGGUGACGGUGAUAAAGAAAGAGAAACAUCAAAAAUCAAUGAAGGUUGAGGAAGAAUAAGAAGAACAAAUGGAAGCUGAUACAGAAGUUGAGGAGUCCGUGCAAGCUGAAAGGCAGAAAUGAAGAAGAGGAAAUAAGGAACAAGAGCAUAAGAAGAAUAAAGAGAAAAGAAAAGAUGAAGCGUAUGAGAAAGCUAAGGAGAAAUUUCAAGAUGAAGAUGGUUCCAAACUCGAUAAGUUAAUCCAAAUGCUUUAUGAUUUGAAUAAACGAGUAGAAGUAAUCGAGAAUGUCAAGUGACGGUUAUGAGAGUCCAUGCAACUAUGAUGAUACAAAAGGUGCACCAAAUGAUG